AGCGAACGCUGGCGGCAGGCCUAACACAUGCAAGUCGAACGAACUCUUCGGAGUUAGUGGCGGACGGGUGAGUAACGCGUGGGAACGUGCCUUUUGGUUCGGAAUAACUCAGGGAAACUUGUGCUAAUACCGAAUGUGCCCUUCGGGGGAAAGAUUUAUCGCCAUUGGAGCGGCCCGCGUCGGAUUAGCUAGUUGGUGGGGUAACGGCUCACCAAGGCGACGAUCAGUAGCUGGUCUGAGAGGAUGACCAGCCACACUGGGACUGAGACACGGCCCAGACUCCUACGGGAGGCAGCAGUGGGGAAUAUUGCGCAAUGGGCGAAAGCCUGACGCAGCCAUGCCGCGUGAAUGAUGAAGGUCUUAGGAUUGUAAAAUUCUUUUACCGGGGAUGAUAAUGACGGUACCCGGAGAAGAAGCCCCGGCUAACUUCGUG
rnacentral:rRNA from 1 species